AUUGAACGCUGGCGGCAUGCCUUACACAUGCAAGUCGAACGGCAGCACGGGAGCUUGCUCCUGGUGGCGAGUGGCGAACGGGUGAGUAAUAUAUCGGAACGUGCCCUAGAGUGGGGGAUAACUAGUCGAAAGAUUAGCUAAUACCGCAUACGAUCUACGGAUGAAAGUGGGGGAUCGCAAGACCUCAUGCUCGUGGAGCGGCCGAUAUCUGAUUAGCUAGUUGAUGAGGUAAAGGCUCACCAAGGCAUCGAUCAGUAGCUGGUCUGAGAGGACGACCAGCCACACUGGGACUGAGACACGGCCCAGACUCCUACGGGAGGCAGCAGUGGGGAAUUUUGGACAAUGGGGGCAACCCUGAUCCAGCAAUGCCGCGUGAGUGAAGAAGGCCUUCGGGUUGUAAAGCUCUUUUGUCAGGGAAGAAACGGUGAGGGCUAAUAUCCUUUGCUAAUGACGGUACCUGAAGAAUAAGCACCGGCUAACUACGUGCCAGCAGCCGCGGUAAUAUGUAGGGUGCAAGCGUUAAUCGGAAUUACUGGGCGUAAAGCGUGCGCAGGCGGUUAUGCAAGACAGAUGUGAAAUCCCCGGGCUCAACCUGGGAAUUGCAUUUGUGACUGUAUGGCUAGAGUGUGUCAGAGGGGGGUAGAAUUCCACGUGUAGCAGUGAAAUGCGUAGAUAUGUGGAGGAAUACCGAUGGCGAAGGCAGCCCC
rnacentral:rRNA from 1 species